AGAAAAAGCCUUAGAGACGGAGAGGAGUCAGGGUGUGUGAAUCACGUCAGCCCUUCAGACGAGGUGAAACGGAAAUAACAUAUUUGCAAGACAAUAACCACAACCACAUCUAUGACUAGAAAAUCCUAGAAAAUUCUGUGCUACGUAAUAUAAAACCUCUCAGGGUACAAUCCACCAACCUGGAAGUACUAUUGACUGAAUUAUGCUCAUAACUGAGGAUGAUGACCUACAGGCAAACUCUGAUAGUGACCAGGUUGUUCUUGCAGAGAACUUGUGAAAAUUCGGUGUGUUGAAUAGGUGAGUUCCAAUGGAGUGAGUAUGCUGCAGCCUUUGAAAAGUAGUGCCAAUCAAGAAAGAGCUGGCAGAAACAGACGUAUCAUACAGAUCAGCAUCUGGCUGCCUAGCUGGUGUUGCCAGCAGGAUUUUGGCUUCCGUAAUCAUGAGAUUCUCUUCAAAGACUGUGGGCUACUGUGGAGAGGAGGACCUGGGCAGUCACCAACAUCUACAGGCUGGAAAGAAAACUGUAACAACUUAAAAAUAUUCUGGACCUGCAAAGGAACCAGAUUUCGGAGUGAAAUCCUAGAUCAAAAAAGAAAAAAAGUUAAAUGAGCUUGAACAAAUGACAGCUAAGCUUUUCUUGUCAUUGACUGACUGAAGACCUGUGGGAAAAAUACAACAUAGAUUUCAUGGAUUAACAAUUCAGGUGAAAGUCCUCUCAUUUCACUAGUACUGCUCCUUUUUAAACCAGUGAAGAACUGAUCUUCUAUUUCCAGUGCACUUGCCAUUUAUUUCAAAGCAUCUUGAAAACAUAUUCACCUCAUCAGCUUAAGGCCUAUUCCCCUACUCGUGGAGCAAUUAUCAGGUGUGAUGUGUGUCAGAGAGAUGUGGUAUCAAUAUUACGGGCACUUGUACAUCUCUUGGCCAACAGAGUGGUGAAAGAAUUGGAAGCUAGGGCCAACUGCCUGUGGCUGUGAAUGUCAGAGGAGAUUGUACUUAUUCAAUGAGUUCCAUAUGCACAUCUGAGUUCAGCAUUUGUCCUUAAAGAAGUAGAUGUUGUCACAACUGCACUUCUGUAAAAUGUGUAAUUUUACGUUAAAAAAUGUGAAAGGAGAGAAAAAGGAUAUGUAUGUAACUAAAGAUAAAUAAAUAAAU
rnacentral:lncRNA from 1 species